AUGUUUCAGUUUUUAAGGUUUUGUUCUGAAACAUUCAUAUCUAUCUUCCAAAACCUUUCAGUUGAAGCUCCAAAGGAAAGGGCGAAACUAGUCCCUAAAGAAAAAGCACCUGAGAUAACUAAAGAAAAACCAAAACCAGCACCAAAGAAAGAGCCUGAAGUCAAGGAAAAGGCUAAACCAGCCCCUGAGAAGAAAGAGGCUGAAGUCAUCAAGGAGAAAGUUAAAC
rnacentral:lncRNA from 1 species